rnacentral:rRNA from 1 species
GAUGAACGCUGGCGGCGUGCCUAAUACAUGCAAGUCGAGCGAACAGACGAGGAGCUUACUCCUCUGACGUUAGCGGCGGACGGGUGAGUAACACGUGGAUAACCUACCUAUAAGACUGGGAUAACUUCGGGAAACCGGAGCUAAUACCGGAUAAUAUAUUGAACCGCAUGGUUCAAUAGUGAAAGACGGUUUUGCUGUCACUUAUAGAUGGAUCCGCGCCGCUUUGGCAAGUUGGUAAGGUAACGGCUUACCAAGGCAACGUUGCGUAGCCGACCUGAGAGGGUGAUCGGCCACACUGGAACUGAGACACGGUCCAGUCUCCUACGGGAGGCAGCAGUAGGGAAUCUUCAGCAAUGGGCGAAAGCCUGACGGAGCAACGCCGAGUGAGUGAUGAAGAUCUUCGGAUCGUAAAACUCUGUUAUUAGGGAAGAACAAAUGUGUAAGUGACUAUGAACGUCUUGACGGUACCUAGUCAGAAAGCCACGGCUAACUACGUG